UACGGAGGGGGCUAGCGUUGUUCGGAAUUACUGGGCGUAAAGCGCACGUAGGCGGCUUUGUAAGUUAGAGGUGAAAGCCUGGGGCUCAACUCCAGAACUGCCUUUAAGACUGCAUCGCUUGAACACGGGAGAGGUGGGUGGAAUUCCGAGUGUAGAGGUGAAAUUCGUAGAUAUUCGGAAGAACACCAGUGGCGAAGGCGGCUCACUGGCCUGGUAUUGACGCUGAGGUGCGAAAGCGUGGGGAGCAAACAGG
rnacentral:rRNA from 1 species